rnacentral:rRNA from 1 species
UACGUAGGGUGCGAGCGUUAAUCGGAAUUACUGGGCGUAAAGCGUGCGCAGGCGGUUCGCUAAGACAGGUGUGAAAUCCCCGGGCUUAACCUGGGAAUGGCGCUUGUGACUGGCGGGCUGGAGUACGGCAGAGGGAGGUGGAAUUCCACGUGUAGCAGUGAAAUGCGUAGAGAUCGGGAGGAACAUCAGUGGCGAAGGCGGCCAUCUGGACCAGCACUGACGUUGAGGCACGAAAGCGUGGGGAGCAAACAGG